rnacentral:tRNA from 3 species
GGGGGUAUAGCUCAGCUGGGAGAGUGUUUGACUGGCAGUCAAAAGGUCACGGGUUCGAGCCCCGUUAUCUCCACCA